rnacentral:tRNA from 1 species
UCCCUGGAGGACUAGUGGUUAGGCCUUGGCGCUCUUGCCGCCACGGCCCAGGUUCGAUUCCCAUCCAGGGAA